rnacentral:sRNA from 1 species
UUGCAGCCUUGCGUUAGGGAUAGCAGCGAAAAUACUUUUGCUUGCAAAAGAUUGUAGCGGAUAGCCCGACGCUUG